GAGGGUAUAGCUCAGUGGUAGAGUGUGUGCUUAGCAUGCAUGAAGUCCUGGGUUCAAUCCCCAGUACCUCCA
rnacentral:tRNA from 1 species